AGUUAGGAGUAGAAGGAAAAUCUCCAGUGUGGAAGAAUAAAGUUAACCUCCCAGAUUAUAAAAGCAAGAAGCCAGUAGAAAGACUCCUGAGAAAGAAAGAUCUGAGUAUUUUCACUUGAUGGAAGACUCAAGACUGGAGUGCGUUACAGCUGGGGAUGUGAGUCAGCUUUCCUGAGGCAAAGGUGUUUCUGAGCGGUGCUCCUUCUCAUGAACAAGUUUGGUUCAGUUUUCUGAGAAGAUGAGAUCCUAGCCUGACCAGUGCUUACCUUGCUGCUUGACAUCCCUAAUACCUCAAGCCACUGACUUUAGAGCCUAUUGAUAGGCCAGAGAGAAGAGGUUGAGAAAGUCCUGAACCAUUUAAAUUCAAGGAUGGUAGAUGCUUCUUGAAAGUUGGUGUUAGUUUAGGAGAUACAGUAUACAGUCUGUGUAAAGUUGUAAGUAUCUAAUACAAUCUCCACAUGUAUUUUGAUUUAGCUGCAGACCACUCCCACCAAGCCCCACUCCCCCUCCAAAAUAUGUAACUUGAUUGAGGUUUUAUUUGAUUCUUCUUUUUUCAAGAGGAGGAAA